GACGAACGCUGGCGGCGCGCUUAACACAUGCAAGUCGAACGGAAAGGCCUGCUUUCCCUUGUGGAUUGCGGGUACUCGAGUGGCGAACGGGUGAGUAACACGUGAGUGAUCUGCCCCCAACUUGGGUAUAAGCCUGGGAAACUGGGUCUAAUUCCCGAUAGGACUGCAGGGUGGUGCCUGUGGUGGAAAACGAUUUUCUAGUGGUUGGGGAUGAGCUCGCGGCCUAUCAGCUUGUUGGUGGGGUAAUGGCCUACCAAGGCGGCGACGGGUAGCCGGCCUGAGAGGGUGGACGGCCACAUUGGGACUGAGAUACGGCCCAGACUCCUACGGGAGGCAGCAGUGGGGAAUAUUGCACAAUGGGCGGAAGCCUGAUGCAGCGACGCCGCGUGGGGGAUGACGGCCUUCGGGUUGUAAACUCCUUUCGACCGCGAGGAAGCCACCUGGUUGGAAGGGUGGUGACGGUAGUGGCAGAAGAAGCACCGGCUAACUACGUG
rnacentral:rRNA from 1 species